rnacentral:rRNA from 1 species
UGAGCAAUCUGCCCUUCUCUUUGGAAUAAGCGUUGGAAACGACGUCUAAUGCCGAAUACGACCUCCUUUCGCAUGAUCGGAGGUGGAAAGCUCCGGCGGAGAAGGAUGAGCUCGCGGCCUAUCAGCUAGUUGGUGUGGGUAAUGGCCCACCAAGGCGACGACGGGUAGCUGGUCUGAGAGGAUGGCCAGCCACACUGGGACUGAGACACGGCCCAGACCUCGUACGGGGAGG